rnacentral:rRNA from 14 species
ACCUGGUUGAUCCUGCCAGUAGUCAUAUGCUUGUCUCAAAGAUUAAGCCAUGCAUGUCUAAGUAUAAGCGACUAUACUGUGAAACUGCGAAUGGCUCAUUAAAUCAGUUAUGGUUUAUUUGAUGGUACCUUACUACUUGGAUAACCGUAGUAAUUCUAGAGCUAAUACAUGCAGGAAUUCCCGACUCCGGAAGGGAUGUAUUUAUUAGAUAAGAAACCAAUCCGGUCCUCCGGUUGCGUGCUGAGUCAUAAUAACUUCUCGAAUCGUACGGCCCCGCGCUGGCGAUGGUUCAUUCAAAUUUCUGCCCUAUCAGCUUUCGAUGGUAGGAUAGAGGCCUACCAUGGCGUUUACGGGUAACGGAGAAUUAGGGUUCGAUUCCGGAGAGGGAGCCUGAGAAAUGGCUACCACAUCCAAGGAAGGCAGCAGGCGCGUAAAUUGCCCGAAUCCUGACACAGGGAGGUAGUGACAAGAAAUAACAAUACAGGGCUAUCUUAGUCUUGUAAUUGGAAUGAGUACAAUUUACAUCUCUUCACGAGGAUCAAUUGGAGGGCAAGUCUGGUGCCAGCAGCCGCGGUAAUUCCAGCUCCAAUAGCGUAUAUUAAAGUUGUUGCAGUUAAAACGCUCGUAGUCGGAUUUCGGGG